rnacentral:rRNA from 1 species
AUUGAACGCUGGCGGCAGGCCUAACACAUGCAAGUCGAACGAGUGGCGGACUGGUGAGUAAUGUCUGGGAAACUGCCCGGUGGAGGGGGAUAACUACUGGAAACGGUAGCUAAUACCGCAUACCAUCGGAUGUUCCCCGAUGGGAUUAGCUAGUCGGUGGGGUAACGGCUCACCUAGGCGACGAUCCCUAGCUGGUCUGAGAGGAUGACGAGCGACACUGGAACUGAUACACGGUCCAGGCUCGUAGGGGAGGCAGCAGUGGGGAAUAUUGCACAAUGGGCGCAAGCCUGAUGCAGCCAGGCCGCGUGUAUGAAGAAGGCCUUCGGGUUGUAAAGUACUUUCAGCGAGGAGGCGUUACUCGCAGAAGAAGCACCGGCUAACUCCGGGCCAGCAGCCGCGGUAAUA